UUAAUGUUACAUGGAUAAUUAAGUUCAAGUUGCAAUAAUUUACUUUUGCUCUCCCAGAUAUUUGGUUUUCUUCCCAUAACCGACUUAUACUAGGUAGAAUUAAUGAUGAAUUGUACUUUUCUAUAUUUAAACAUGUUUAAAUAUAAUUAUUUAUCUUGGUUGAGUUAGUGAAAGGAUAUCACUAAUAUUCUUGAUAAGUGGCUUUGUAUAUCAAAGAGACAUUACCCUUUUUAUUUCUGAGUGUUGUUGUGAAACUCUGCAAAGUUGACCUGAUUUUGAAAAGUUUUGAAAGAGACUUAUGACUAAGGUCAUCAAAGCCCUCUCAUCACUUGGGCUUCUUCUCCCCCUUUGAGUUAGGAAGUGUUUUCUUUCUACACCUCCUUAAAUUCAAUCCGCUCCUCC
rnacentral:lncRNA from 1 species